UGACCUCAAAUCAGGUAGGAUUACCCGCUGAACUUAAGCAUAUCAAUAAGCGGAGGAAAAGAAACUAACAAGGAUUCCCCUAGUAACUGCGAGUGAAGCGGGAAAAGCUCAAAUUUAAAAUCUGGCGGUCUUUGGCCGUCCGAGUUGUAGUCUGGAGAAGUGCUUUCCGCGCUGGACCGUGUACAAGUCUCUUGGAACAGAGCGUCAUAGAGGGUGAGAAUCCCGUCUUUGACACGGACUACCAGUGCUUUGUGAUGUGCUCUCAAAGAGUCGAGUUGUUUGGGAAUGCAGCUCAAAAUGGGUGGUAAAUUCCAUCUAAAGCUAAAUAUUGGCGAGAGACCGAUAGCGAACAAGUACCGUGAGGGAAAGAUGAAAAGCACUUUGGAAAGAGAGUUAAACAGUACGUGAAAUUGCUGAAAGGGAAACGCUUGAAGUCAGUCGCGUUGGCCAGGACUCAGCCUUGCUUAUUUGCUUGGUGCAUUUUCUGGUUGACGGGCCAGCAUCGAUUUUGACCGCUGGAAAAAGAUUAGGGGAAUGUGGCACCUUCGGGUGUGUUAUAGCCCUUAGUCACAUACAG
rnacentral:rRNA from 1 species